rnacentral:rRNA from 1 species
AUACAUAGGUUAACGAGGCGAACCGGGGGAACUGAAACAUCUAAGUACCCCGAGGAAAAGAAAUCAACCGAGAUUCCCCCAGUAGCGGCGAGCGAACGGGGAGCAGCCCGGAGUCUGAAUCAGCUUGUGUGUUAGUGGAACGGUCUGGAAAGUCCGACGGUACAGGGUGAUAGUCCCGUACACGAAAACACACUUGCUGUGAACUCGAAGAGUAGGGCGGGACACGUGGUAUCCUGUCUGAAUAUGGGGGGACCAUCCUCCAAGGCUAAAUACUCCUGACUGACCGAUAGUGAACCAGUACCGUGAGGGAAAGGCGAAAAGAACCCCGGCGAGGGGAGUGAAAAAGAACCUGAAACCGUGUACGUACAAGCAGUGGGAGCCUCUUUAUGGGGUGACUGCGUACCUUUUGUAUAAUGGGUCAGCGACUUAUAUUCUGUAGCAAGGUUAACCGUAUAGGGGAGCCGAAGGGAAACCGAGUCUUAACUGGGCGUUAAGUUGCAGGGUAUAGACCCGAAACCCGGUGAUCUAGCCAUGGGCAGGUUGAAGGUUGGGUAACACUAACUGGAGGACCGAACCGACUAAUGUUGAAAAAUUAGCGGAUGACCUGUGGCUGGGGGUGAAAGGCCAAUCAAACCGGGAGAUAGCUGGUUCUCCCCGAAAGCUAUUUAGGUAGCGCCUCGUGAACUCAUCUUCGGGGGUAGAGCACUGUUUCGGCUAGGGGGCCAUCCCGGCUUACCAACCCGAUGCAAACUACGAAUACCGAAGAAUGUUAUCACGGGAGACACACGGCGGGUGCUAACGUCCGUCGUGAAGAGGGAAACAACCCAGACCGCCAGCUAAGGUCCCAAAGUCAUGGUUAAGUGGGAAACGAUGUGGGAAGGCACAGACAGCCAGGAUGUUGGCUUAGAAGCAGCCAUCAUUUAAAGAAAGCGUAAUAGCUCACUGGUCGAGUCGGCCUGCGCGGAAGAUGUAACGGGGCUAAACCAUGCACCGAAGCUGCGGCAGCGACACUAUGUGUUGUUGGGUAGGGGAGCGUUCUGUAAGCCGUUGAAGGUGUGCUGUGAGGCAUGCUGGAGGUAUCAGAAGUGCGAAUGCUGACAUAAGUAACGAUAAAGCGGGUGAAAAGCCCGCUCGCCGGAAGACCAAGGGUUCCUGUCCAACGUUAAUCGGGGCAGGGUGAGUCGACCCCUAAGGCGAGGCCGAAAGGCGUAGUCGAUGGGAAACAGGUUAAUAUUCCUGUACUUGGUGUUACUGCGAAGGGGGGACGGAGAAGGCUAUGUCAGCCGGGCGACGGUUGUCCCGGUUUAAGCAUGUAGGCGGAGGUUCCAGGUAAAUCCGGUACCUUAUUAACGCUGAGGUGUGAUGACGAGGCACUACGGUGCUGAAGUGAUAAAUGCCCUGCUUCCAGGAAAAGCCUCUAAGCAUCAGGUAACACGAAAUCGUACCCCAAACCGACACAGGUGGUCAGGUAGAGAAUACCAAGGCGCUUGAGAGAACUCGGGUGAAGGAACUAGGCAAAAUGGUGCCGUAACU